rnacentral:misc_RNA from 1 species
GUCGACUGGCUGAUUUAUACCAGCUACGCACUCCCUACGUAACAUUAGACAUGUAAAUAUCUCAUGCAAGAGCAGUCAGUAUCAUUUCACGUGUAAGUCCCGUGAUCGCCUCUGGCAGCGUAAGGCUAUGAGUUAUCGUUUCAAGGAGAUCGAGUCUCUGCUGUAUCGAGUACCUUUGGAUCUAAUAAAAGACGGAUUAGAUUAAAAACAUUCUUUUUGCCUCCGCCUUUUUACAAGGUAUGGCUCUCGUUUCUCGAAGACAGAGGAUCGAGACGUUACAAUGAACGUGGGACGCCUCGGGAUGAUCGUGACCAGGUAGAAUUACGAGUAACGCG